rnacentral:rRNA from 1 species
GGGUUGUGAGGUUAAGCGACUAAGCGUACACGGUGGAUGCCCUGGCAGUCAGAGGCGAUGAAGGACGUGCUAAUCUGCGAAAAGCGUCGGUAAGGUGAUAUGAACCGUUACAGCCGGCGAUGUCCGAAUGGGGAAACCCAGUGCAAUUCGUUGCACUAUCGUUAACUGAAUACAUAGGUUAACGAGGCGAACCGGGGGAACUGAAACAUCUAAGUACCCCGAGGAAAAGAAAUCAACCGAGAUUCCCCCAGUAGCGGCGAGCGAACGGGGAGCAGCCCAGAGUCUGAAUCAGCUUGUGUGUUAGUGGAACGGUCUGGAAAGUCCGACGGUACAGGGUGAUAGUCCCGUACACCAAAAUGCACAGGCUGUGAACUCGAAGAGUAGGGCGGGACACGUGGUAUCCUGUCUGAAUAUGGGGGGACCAUCCUCCAAGGCUAAAUACUCCUGACUGACCGAUAGUGAACCAGUACCGUGAGGGAAAGGCGAAAAGAACCCCGGCGAGGGGAGUGAAAAAGAACCUGAAACCGUGUACGUACAAGCAGUGGGAGCACCUUCGGGUGUGACUGCGUACCUUUUGUAUAAUGGGUCAGCGACUUAUAUUCUGUAGCAAGGUUAACCGUAUAGGGGAGCCGCAGGGAAACCGAGUCUUAACUGGGCGUUAAGUUGCAGGGUAUAGACCCGAAACCCGGUGAUCUAGCCAUGGGCAGGUUGAAGGUUGGGUAACACUAACUGGAGGACCGAACCGACUAAUGUUGAAAAAUUAGCGGAUGACUUGUGGCUGGGGGUGAAAGGCCAAUCAAACCGGGAGAUAGCUGGUUCUCCCCGAAAGCUAUUUAGGUAGCGCCUCGUGAACUCAUCUUCGGGGGUAGAGCACUGUUUCGGCUAGGGGGUCAUCCCGACUUACCAACCCGAUGCAAACUACGAAUACCGAAGAAUGUUAUCACGGGAGACACACGGCGGGUGCUAACGUCCGUCGUGAAGAGGGAAACAACCCAGACCGCCAGCUAAGGUCCCAAAGUCAUGGUUAAGUGGGAAACGAUGUGGGAAGGCACAGACAGCCAGGAUGUUGGCUUAGAAGCAGCCAUCAUUUAAAGAAAGCGUAAUAGCUCACUGGUCGAGUCGGCCUGCGCGGAAGAUGUAACGGGGCUAAACCAUGCACCGAAGCUGCGGCAGCGACACUAUGUGUUGUUGGGUAGGGGAGCGUUCUGUAAGCCUGCGAAGGUGACCUGUGAGGGUUGCUGGAGGUAUCAGAAGUGCGAAUGCUGACAUAAGUAACGAUAAAGCGGGUGAAAAGCCCGCUCGCCGGAAGACCAAGGGUUCCUGUCCAACGUUAAUCGGGGCAGGGUGAGUCGACCCCUAAGGCGAGGCCGAAAGGCGUAGUCGAUGGGAAACAGGUUAAUAUUCCUGUACUUGGUGUUACUGCGAAGGGGGGACGGAGAAGGCUAUGUUAGCCGGGCGACGGUUGUCCCGGUUUAAGCAUGUAGGCUGAUUGUCCAGGCAAAUCCGGAUAAUCAAGGCUGAGGUGUGAUGACGAGGCACUACGGUGCUGAAGUAACAAAUGCCCUGCUUCCAGGAAAAGCCUCUAAGCAUCAGGUAACAUCAAAUCGUACCCCAAACCGACACAGGUGGUCAGGUAGAGAAUACCAAGGCGCUUGAGAGAACUCGGGUGAAGGAACUAGGCAAAAUGGUGCCGUAACUUCGGGAGAAGGCACGCUGGUGUGUAGGUGAAGUCCCUGCGGAUGGAGCUGAGACCAGUCGAAGAUACCAGCUGGCUGCAACUGUUUAUUAAAAACACAGCACUGUGCAAACACGAAAGUGGACGUAUACGGUGUGACGCCUGCCCGGUGCCGGAAGGUUAAUUGAUGGGGUUAUCCGUAAGGAGAAGCUCUUGAUCGAAGCCCCGGUAAACGGCGGCCGUAACUAUAACGGUCCUAAGGUAGCGAAAUUCCUUGUCGGGUAAGUUCCGACCUGCACGAAUGGCGUAAUGAUGGCCAGGCUGUCUCCACCCGAGACUCAGUGAAAUUGAACUCGCUGUGAAGAUGCAGUGUACCCGCGGCAAGACGGAAAGACCCCGUGAACCUUUACUAUAGCUUGACACUGAACAUUGAGCCUUGAUGUGUAGGAUAGGUGGGAGGCUUUGAAGCGUGGACGCCAGUCUGCGUGGAGCCAACCUUGAAAUACCACCCUUUAAUGUUUGAUGUUCUAACGUUGGCCCCUUACCGGGGUUGCGGACAGUGUCUGGUGGGUAGUUUGACUGGGGCGGUCUCCUCCCAAAGCGUAACGGAGGAGCACGAAGGUUAGCUAAUCCUGGUCGGACAUCAGGAGGUUAGUGCAAUGGCAUAAGCUAGCUUGACUGCGAGCGUGACGGCGCGAGCAGGUGCGAAAGCAGGUCAUAGUGAUCCGGUGGUUCUGAAUGGAAGGGCCAUCGCUCAACGGAUAAAAGGUACUCCGGGGAUAACAGGCUGAUACCGCCCAAGAGUUCAUAUCGACGGCGGUGUUUGGCACCUCGAUGUCGGCUCAUCACAUCCUGGGGCUGAAGUAGGUCCCAAGGGUAUGGCUGUUCGCCAUUUAAAGUGGUACGCGAGCUGGGUUUAGAACGUCGUGAGACAGUUCGGUCCCUAUCUGCCGUGGGCGCUGGAGAAUUGAGGGGGGCUGCUCCUAGUACGAGAGGACCGGAGUGGACGCAUCACUGGUGUUCGGGUUGUCAUGCCAAUGGCACUGCCCGGUAGCUAAAUGCGGAAGAGAUAAGUGCUGAAAGCAUCUAAGCACGAAACUUGCCCCGAGAUGAGUUCUCCCUGAGACUUUAAGUCUCCUGAAGGAACGUUAAAGACGAUGACGUUGAUAGGCCGGGUGUGUAAGCGCAGCGAUGCGUUGAGCUAACCGGUACUAAUGAACCGUGAGGCUUAACCUUACAACGCCGAAG